AGUGAACGCUGGCGGUAGGCCUAACACAUGCAAGUCGAACGGCAGCACAGUAAGAGCUUGCUCUUACGGGUGGCGAGUGGCGGACGGGUGAGGAAUACAUCGGAAUCUACUUUUUCGUGGGGGAUAACGUAGGGAAACUUACGCUAAUACCGCAUACGACCUACGGGCGAAAGCAGGGGAUCUUCGGACCUUGCGCGAUUGAAUGAGCCGAUGUCGGAUUAGCUAGUUGGCGGGGUAAAGGCCCACCAAGGCGACGAUCCGUAGCUGGUCUGAGAGGAUGAUCAGCCACACUGGAACUGAGACACGGUCCAGACUCCUACGGGAGGCAGCAGUGGGGAAUAUUGGACAAUGGGCGCAAGCCUGAUCCAGCCAUACCGCGUGGGUGAAGAAGGCCUUCGGGUUGUAAAGCCCUUUUGUUGGGAAAGAAAAGCAGCAGGUUAAGACCCCGCUGUUCUGACGGUACCCAAAGAAUAAGCACCGGCUAACUUCGU
rnacentral:rRNA from 1 species